rnacentral:rRNA from 1 species
GACGAACGCUGGCGGCGUGCCUAAUACAUGCAAGUUGAGCGCUGAAGGUUGGUACUUGUACCAACUGGAUGAGCAGCGAACGGGUGAGUAACGCGUGGGGAAUCUGCCUUUGAGCGGGGGACAACAUCUGGAAACGAAUGCUAAUACCGCAUAAAAACUUUAAACACAAGUUUCAAGUUUGAAAGAUGCAAUUGCAUCACUCAAAGAUGAUCCCGCGUUGUAUUAGCUAGUUGGUGAGGUAAAGGCUCACCAAGGCGAUGAUACAUAGCCGACCUGAGAGGGUGAUCGGCCACAUUGGAACUGAGACACGGCCCAAACUCCUACGGGAGGCAGCAGUAGGGAAUCUUCGGCAAUGGACGAAAGUCUGACCGAGCAACGCCGCGUGAGUGAAGAAGGUUUUCGGAUCGUAAAACUCUGUUGGUAGAGAAGAACGUUGGUGAGAGUGGAAAGCUCAUCAAGUGACGGAAACAACCCAAAAAGGGACGGCUAACUACGU